rnacentral:rRNA from 1 species
GACGAACGCUGGCGGCGUGCUUAACACAUGCAAGUCGAACGGAAAGGCCCUGCUUUUGUGGGGUGCUCGAUUGGCGAACGGGUGAGUAACACGUGAGUAACCUGCCCUUGACUUUGGGAUAACUUCAGGAAACUGGGGCUCAUACCGGGUAGGAGCUCCUGCUGCAUGGUGGGGGUUGGAAAGUUUCGGCGGUUGGGGAUGGACUCGCGGCUUAUCAGCUUGUUUGUGUGGUAGUGGCUUACCAAGGCUUUGACGGGUAGCCGGCCUGAGAGGGUGACCGGCCACAUUGGGACUGAGAUACGGCCCAGACUCCUACGGGAGGCAGCAGUGGGGAAUAUUGCACAAUGGGCGGAAGCCUGAUGCAGCAACGCCGCGUGCGGGAUGACGGCUUUCGGGUUGUAAACCGCUUUCGCCUGUGACGAAGCGUGAGUGACGGUAAUGGGUAAAGAAGCACCGGCUAACUACGUG